rnacentral:rRNA from 1 species
GAUAUCAUCGUACACCAGUGCUGACGACAGCUCAUUGAGCUUGCUCUGACGAUGAGACACGAAAGCGUGGUGAGCACACGGGAUUAGAUACCCCGGUAGUCCACGCCGUAAACAAUGUGCACUAGAUCAAGGAAGGUACUGACGCCUCUGUCGGUCGAAGUAAAAACGUUGAGUGCACCGCCUGGGGAGUACGGUCGCAAGGCUAAAACUCAAAGGAAUUGACGGGGGCUCACACAAGCGGUGGAGCAUGUGGCUUAAUUUGAAGCAACGCGAAGAACCUUAUCCCAGGUUUGACAUGUAUGGAUUAGUCGCCAGAAACGGCGAUGACACUCUUGUAGUGGAACAUACACAGGUGCUGCAUGGCUGUCGUCAGCUCGUGCUGUGAAGUGUCGGGUUAAGUCCCUUAACGAGCGAAACCCCUAUUACUAGUUGCUCACGCGUCAUGGCGAGGACUCUAGUGAGACUGCCGGUGUUAAACCGGAGGAAGGUGGGGAUGACGUCAAGUCCUCAUGGCCUUUAUGCCUGGGGCUGCACACGUGCUACAAUGGUGCGAACAGAACGAUGCAAGACCGCAAGGUGGAGCAAAUCGCUUAAAUCGCACCCCAGUUCGGAUUGAGGGCUGCAACCCGCCCUCAUGAAGUCGGAAUCGCUAGUAAUCGCGGAUCAGCUACGCCGCGGUGAAUAUGUUCCUGAGCCUUGUACACACCGCCCGUCAAGUCAUGGAAGCCGCCAGAUGCCUUAAGUCGCCUCAUCCCUGAGGUUAGCACGCCAACACUGCCAUCCG